UUUUCAUCUCAUCUAGAUGGGAUUUCCAAGUCAUAAUUAUCUGAUAAUUACCAUCCGGAUGGCUGUUUUGUGCAUGGCAUUAGGUUUAAGCAUUUGGCAGGGAAGGAUGAAUGCAGUUUUACAGAUUUUGACAUUUCUUAAUACUCUGUGGCUUGCUCAGAAGGCAGCUAGUUACCUAAGUGCCCAAAAUAAGAAAUCUUUCUAAAAGUCAAAGUUUGGAAAAUGAGCACUUAUCUCCUCCCUGCUAUCCUUUCUCCCUACAGCCUUCUUUGUGGCUACUUUUAAAC
rnacentral:lncRNA from 1 species